AGUGAACGCUGGCGGUAGGCCUAACACAUGCAAGUCGAACGGCAGCACAGUAAGAGCUUGCUCUUACGGGUGGCGAGUGGCGGACGGGUGAGGAAUACAUCGGAAUCUACUUUUUCGUGGGGGAUAACGUAGGGAAACUUACGCUAAUACCGCAUACGACCUACGGGUGAAAGCAGGGGAUCUUCGGACCUUGCGCGAUUGAAUGAGCCGAUGUCGGAUUAGCUAGUUGGCGGGGUAAAGGCCCACCAAGGCGACGAUCCGUAGCUGGUCUGAGAGGAUGAUCAGCCACACUGGAACUGAGACACGGUCCAGACUCCUACGGGAGGCAGCAGUGGGGAAAAUUGGACAAUGGGCGCAAGCCUGAUCCAGCCAUACCGCGUGGGUGAAGAAGGCCUUCGGGUUGUAAAGCCCUUUUGUUGGGAAAGAAAAUCAGCAGGUUAAUACCCCGCUGUUCUGACGGUACCCAAAGAAUAAGCACCGGCUAACUUCGUG
rnacentral:rRNA from 1 species